AUUGAACGCUGGCGGCAUGCUUUACACAUGCAAGUCGAACGGUAACAGGCCUUCGGGUGCUGACGAGUGGCGAACGGGUGAGUAAUGUAUCGGAACGUGCCCAGUGGUGGGGGAUAACGCAGCGAAAGCUGUGCUAAUACCGCAUGUGAUCUGAGGAUGAAAGCGGGGGACCAGGCAGCAAUGUUUGGCCUCGUGCCUUUGUAGCGGCCGAUGUCAGAUUAGGUAGUUGGUGGGGUAAAGGCCUACCUAGCCGACGAUCUGUAGCUGGUCUGAGAGGACGGCCAGCCAGACUGGGAGUGAGACACGGCCCAGACUCCUACGGGAGGCAGCAGUGGGGAAUUUUGGACAAUGGGCGCAAGCCUGAUCCAGCAAUGCCGCGGGCGGGAAGAAGGCCUUCGGGUUGUAAACCGCUUUUGUACGGAACGAAGAGGCUCUGGCUAAUACCUGGGGCUGAUGACGGUACCGUAAGAAUAAGCACCGGCUAACUACGUG
rnacentral:rRNA from 1 species